UGUUUCAAGUUUAACCAAUUUUUCAAAUAUACGCAUUUUUUAAGGUUUCCGAGCCUCAUUUUUCAGUAGUUUCUAACACGGUUUCUCGACUAUUCUCAUUCGCCGUCACUCCUCGCUUCCGGAAAAGUUGUCACUCUGGCCAAAGACAAAUAUAUUUAUUUCAGAAUGCCGCUCCAGUGCGAGAGGAACAGAUAUGUACUCGGACUGUCAGAGUGAACGCUAAUUAUUUGAAACAUUCUUUCCAACACGGAUGUUGGGGAAAAUUUCGAAACGUCAAAACGUGAUGCCUCACCAUGUAUAAAAACUUUUACGUAUUAUAAAUAUGCACUGCGGUCAGCACAACGCUCGCGCAACUCGUUGACUCUCCGCGUCAACGUUAUAAACGUUAUAUCGCCCAAUAUUGAAAUCGGUGAUGGCAAUAUCUCCAAUGAAAUCGACGAUUGCCGUGUCAUUUUGUUAUUGAGUACGAUGAAAUAUUUCAAUGCUGAAAAGCAAUCAUUUUUCACUCAUAUUGACAGCUUCAUAUGCAAAUUCAGCAAGACUCGAAUGAACAACUGCAUGGAUAUUGAGGGACUACGCUGAUUUAUUGAACGACGAAUCCGCGUAGUUCAAAGAGCAUUAUUUAGCAGUUGGACUCACCUCGGUCUGGGUCUCCAUGCUUUCUUGAAAUCGCAAGUUUUCGCUCGCGUUGAGUCAAUCAGUCGGAACUUUCAGGAAAAUCCUUCAAGCCUGCUUCGUGAGGUAACUAUACGACAUGAAGAAAAUAGAGACGGGGGUGAAACGAGCUCGCAGAAUACCGGAAAGCCAGUCUAUACCCGACAAAAGGAAGAACCAAAUCUCCGACUGAAAAAAUAAAAAAUGGCAAUUAGUUUACAAUUCGAAUGUGCGUAUGUCAUUUCUUUCACUCGGCAUUAUUCGUUAAUUCAAUUGUAAAUCUUCUAAUUAGACCUAUUUCGAUAAAUGACAAUGAAAAAAGCGUGAACGAUUGUAAGAUUCAAAUUCUGGCCCGUGAAACUUGCAUGAUUUAUGUCGAACGUACCGCUAAUUUGUGGUUCAAGUUCUUUAAACUGAUCUCGACUCCGUUAUUCGUAUGAACUUGUAAUUCCGACAAAUUAUUCGUUUCUCGACACUUCCGCGUUAUACGAUACGGCGUAAAAUGACGUUCAACGAACUUGGUGAAACUUCUGCAUCGAUGAAUUCCGCGAGUGCUAGGUAAACUUAUGAAUAAUAAUUUGUGCGAAUUUGAGUCUUCUGCAUGAAAAAUAAUGUUCCUCCAAGAGACUUCGGUCUCAGCUUUCUAUACACGGAGAGAAAAAAAAUUGUAAAAAUUACUAUAACACCAUCUUGGAUAACCUUGAUGAAUCUUCCACGAAAAAUCUUGCAUUUUUUAUACUCGAAGUUUGUAAAAUUCGGGCUUUUAUGAUAGGAAACGGAUAAACCAAAAUACGGAGCUAGUCAUACCGAUGACAUAUGAAGUUUAAAACUACGAUGUAUGUAAAAUUACAUAAACAUGCGUUUAAUCAUAUAUUAAAGAAAUAGUAAUCAGAGGUAUAAGCUCUAGAUAAUAUGCAAAUGUACGAAUUAGAGAUAAGUUUUUUGUUAAAAUAGCGCUGUAUCGGACGCACAAUUAGAUGUUUAAGCACACCGUGAUACGGAAAUCCUUAGGAUACCAAAUAUUUUUGUAAACAUAAUGUAUUACCACUUAAAACGUUCUCCUUUGUAAAAAGCGCAAGCCUAUGUGCAAAUAAAUAUUACUACUACUACUA